AAUCAACGCUGGCGGCGUGCCUCAGACAUGCAAGUCGAACGCGAAAGAGGGCUUCGGCCCUUGAGUAGAGUGGCGCACGGGUGAGUAACACGUGGGUAAUUUACCUUUGGGUGGGGAAUAACAGUCGGAAACGGCUGCUAAUACCGCAUAAUGCAGCGGUUCCAUAUGGAGACAGUUGUUAAAGCGGGGGAGCGAGCAAUCGCCCUCGCGCCUGAAGAGAAGCCCGCGGCAGAUUAGCUAGUUGGUGAGGUAAUGGCUCACCAAGGCUUCGAUCUGUAGCCGGCCUGAGAGGGCGGUCGGCCACACUGACACUGAAUAACGGGUCAGACUCCUACGGGAGGCAGCAGUCGGGAAUUUUGGGCAAUGGGCGCAAGCCUGACCCAGCAACGCCGCGUGAAGGAUGAAAUCUUUC
rnacentral:rRNA from 1 species